rnacentral:lncRNA from 10 species
GGGUCAUGCUGGGAUUGUAGUCCCGAAGUGCCUGAAACAACGGGCGGGAGCAGUGAAGAGACUACAACUCCCAGCAUGCACAGCGAGGUCAACACAGCCCGGCUUUCCUCUUCAGGACUGUGCGCCGCCCCAUGUUCAUGCUGGCUGUGAUUGUAAUCCGGUCGCCCUGCAAUUAAAAAACUGGAAGCUAAUCAAAGACGACAACUCCCAGUAUGCCAGUCUUGCUUUGUAGCCCAGGCUGGAAUGCUGUGACUCGAUCUGGGCUCACUGCAACCUCCACUUCCCGGGUUCAAGCGAUUCUCCUGCCUCAGCCUCCCGAGUAGAUGAAAUUACAGACAACCGCCACCACGCCCGGCUAAUUUUUGCAUUUUUUAGUAGAGAUUGGGUUUCACCAUGUGGGCCAGGCUGGUCUCGAACUCCUGAACUCAAGUGAUCUGCCCGCCUUGGCCACCCAAAAUGCUGGGAUUGCAGGCGUGAGCCACUGCGCCCGGCCUGAAUCCAUUUUAACACUGAGUUUUUCAGAUUAACUCGAAGUACCCCACAACUACACGCUAAUGAAACUAGAGGAGGCACAGCCUCAGCUCCGUGCAGGAUGGAUGCACAAGAGCAGAAUCUCCAUGGGACGCCUUUCUGGAGCAUCAGUAUUACUGCAGGAUUUGGAAGCAACAAGUUCAAAUAAUUUUCAACGUUAACACACUGGAAAUUUAAGAGAAGUCUGGAAACUCAUCUACCUUUAAAAACUGUCAGUCAUCUGUGCCUAAGUCAGACUUUCUCCAAGAAAAAAAAA